rnacentral:misc_RNA from 1 species
GAAAUGCGAUAAGUAAUGUGAAGUGCAGAAUUCAGUGAAUCAUCGAAUCUUUGAACGCACCUUGCGCUCCUUGGUAUUCCUUGGGGCAUGCCUGUUUGAGUAUCAUGAAAUCUUCAAAGUAAAUCUUUUGUUAACUCAAUUGGUUUCUACUUUGGUAUUGGAGGUCUUUGCAGCUUCACACCUGCUCCUCUUUGUUCAUUAGCUGGAUCUCAGUGUUAUGCUUGGUUCCACUCGGCGUGAUAAGUUAUCUAUCGCUGAGGACACUGUAAAAGGUGGCCAAGGUAAAUGCAGAUGAACCGCUUCUAAUAGUCCAUUGACUUGGACAAUACUUUUAUGAUCUGAUCUCAUAUCAGGUAGGACUACCCGCUGAACUUAAGC